UACGAAGGGGGCUAGCGUUGCUCGGAAUCACUGGGCGUAAAGCGCACGUAGGCGGCUCUUUAAGUCGGAGGUGAAAUCCUGGAGCUCAACUCCAGAACUGCCUUCGAUACUGAAAAGCUCGAGUCCGGGAGAGGUGAGUGGAACUGCGAGUGUAGAGGUGAAAUUCGUAGAUAUUCGCAAGAACACCAGUGGCGAAGGCGGCUCACUGGCCCGGUACUGACGCUGAGGUGCGAAAGCGUGGGGAGCAAACAGG
rnacentral:rRNA from 1 species